CCUACGGGGGGCUGCAGUGAGGAAUAUUGGUCAAUGGACGAGAGUCUGAACCAGCCAAGUAGCGUGAAGGAUGACUGCCCUAUGGGUUGUAAACUUCUUUUAUAUGGGAAUAAAAUGUUCCACGUGUGGGAUUUUGUAUGUACCAUAUGAAUAAGGAUCGGCUAACUCCGUGCCAGCAGCCGCGGUAAUACGGAGGAUCCGAGCGUUAUCCGGAUUUAUUGGGUUUAAAGGGAGCGUAGGUGGAUUGUUAAGUCAGUUGUGAAAGUUUGCGGCUCAACCGUAAAAUUGCAGUUGAAACUGGCAGUCGUGAGUACAGUAGAGGUGGGCGGAAUUCGUGGUGUAGCGGUGAAAUGCUGAGAUAUCACGAAGAACUCCGAUUGCGAAGGCAGCUCACUGGACUGCAACUGACACUGAGGCUCGAAAGUGUGGGUAUCAAACAGGAUUAGAUACCCCAGUAGUC
rnacentral:rRNA from 1 species